rnacentral:lncRNA from 12 species
GGGCAAGCCUGAGAUCUCCUGCCAAGAACAUUUUGGAGUGGUAACUCCAUUGUUCCUGCUCCUUCUUUAUCUUUGCCACCCUCACCCUGAAGUAAGGGGACCUAAAGGUUUGUCACAGCCACCCUCACUACGACAAG